AGACCGGUUUAUUGGUCGUGCUUUUGUACGUACUGGUAUUAUUGGUUUCUCCUUUCUGACGAGUCUUAAUGCCAUUAAUUUGGGGUUUUGGAGAAUCAGGACUGUUACUUUGAAAAAAUUAGAGUGUUGAAAGCAGGCUCACGCUUGAAUACAUUAGCAUGGAAUAACGGAAUCGGACGUUUGAUUCUAUUUUGUUGGUUUCUAGGAUCGACGUA
rnacentral:rRNA from 1 species